AGCGAACGCUGGCGGCAGGCCUAACACAUGCAAGUCGAACGAACCUUUCGGGGUUAGUGGCGGACGGGUGAGUAACACGUGGGAACGUGCCUUUAGGUUCGGAAUAACUCAGGGAAACUUGUGCUAAUACCGAAUGUGCCCUUCGGGGGAAAGAUUAAUCGCCUUUAGAGCGGCCCGCGUCUGAUUAGCUAGUUGGUUGAGGUAAUGGCUCACCAAGGCGACGAUCAGUAGCUGGUCUGAGAGGAUGAUCAGCCACAUUGGGACUGAGACACGGCCCAAACUCCUACGGGAGGCAGCAGUGGGGAAUCUUGCGCACUGGGCGAAAGCCUGACGCAGCCAUGCCGCGUGAAUGAUGAAGGUCUUAGGAUUGUAAAAUUCUUUCACCGGGGACGAUAAUGACGGUACCCGGAGAAGAAGCCCCGGCUAACUUCGU
rnacentral:rRNA from 1 species